GCCUGGGUGGCUCAGUUGAUUAAGUGUCUGACUUUGGCUCAGGUCAUGAUCUCACGGUUUGUGGGUUCAAACCCCACAUCGGGCU
rnacentral:tRNA from 1 species